CAGAACGAUGGCACAAUUCAAAGAUGUGUUAGCCUUUACGCUGUGGACGUUGAAAAAUACGUUCCAUUACGGAUUUAUCCCAGCUGUAAUAUAUUUAGGUUUCAAGAAGGGAGCUGAUGAAGGAAUGCCAAAAAUAACAUUCUCUAGUUUGUUAUGGAGCUGAAGAAUAUUUAUGGCAGGAAAUACAACCUCACCGUGAUCAAAUUGAAAUACAGACUUUGCCUGGCCGUGAGCUGUCAUUGAGCUGAUGUUUUUAAUUAGUAAUAAAACAGCUUUCUGAUAAAAUAAAUUUAAAAUGAAAAA